rnacentral:ncRNA from 2 species
AUGGGAAAUUAAGCGGCUGAAUCUCAAUUGGAAGUCAUUGAGACGACGAGGUGGAGGUUCCUCUCUGGUAAGAGAGUGCUAACCCGGUUUGCCGGGAAAAAUCGAGCAAUCAGCGGAAGCCUCCUGGGCCUGAACACGGGUCCAAUUUUUCCUUUCAAUAAAAUGGGCGUUCAAAACUGUGUGGUGACACACAGGACAAAUCAACCAUAGUGGGGUAG